GAAAAUACAAAAGCACUACUGUUUAACAGGAAAGUUACUAUCCAGAAAUUAACCCACAAAGGUGGGAAGAGUAUUUACCCGCUAAUCUCUUUAUUCCCUCGCCUGACAAAAUAUCUGCAUUCCUGGGCGGCCUCAAGAAAUGAACUACAGACAUCUAUUCCCUUUGUGAUACCUCCUUGGAAUCAAAGUGUGGAGUGUAACAAUGUGCCUCCACACACUCACACUAGUUGAUGCUUCAUCUUGGUGAAAUCAAGUUUUUGGAAUUACCUUUCCUAAGAUCAUUCUAUUCACAGAGAAGGAGCUUAAUGUAAGUGAAAUUUUGUAAAAACCAAAGGAAACUAUGGUGGAUGUAUUCUAGACAGAAGAAGGAUUAAACCAAGAUAAAAACAAUGUGAAUGAGGAAAGUGGGAGUAACAGGGAUUCCAAGAGAAAGAAGGAGAACUGGUAAUUGAUGUGGGGCCAAACAGCACAGUACAGCAGAAAGGAUCUAAAUUUGGGAAUUAUACUGAGAUUUUCCAUUUGUCAAAAAUGAGGAGUACUAAUCAGUAGUGCUAUGGAAACAAGACACUAACAGUUAUAGUCCGGAAGAAGAGAUGAUAACAUCUGUCCCUAAAAAGAGAUGCUGUGAGAAUGGGUAGCCAUCGAAAGCAAUUCUGUUCAUCAGACAAGAGUUCUUGCUAUUUACACCACAUCUGCAGUGACUUCCUCCACUGAAGUAUUGAACCUUUAAAGUCAUCCAUGAAGGUUGAAAUCAACUUCUUCCAAACUCCUCAUAGGAUUGAUAUUUUGACCUCCUCCCAUAAACGACAAAUUUUCUGAAUGUCAUCUAAAAUGGCAAUUUUUUUCCAGAAGGUUUUCAACUUUGCCCAGAUCCAUUAGAGGAAUCACUGUAGCAGUUAUAUCCUUAAUAAAUGUAUUUGUAAAAUAAUAAUACUUGAAAGUCAAAAUUACUCCUUAACUGUGGGCUACAGGAUAGAUGUUGUGUUAGCAGUCAUGAAAAAAACAUUAAUCUCCUUGAACAUCUUCAUCAGAGCUCUUGGGUAACCAGGUGCAUUGUCAGUGACCAGGAAUAUUUUGAAAGGAAUUUCAAAAGGUCUCAACAGUAAGGCUUAAAAUAUUCAAUAAACCAUACUGUAAACAGAUGUGUUGUCAUCUAGGCUUUGUUAUUUCAUUUCUAGAACAAAUGCAGAGUAUAUUUAGCAUAAUUCUUAAGGACCCCAGUAUUUUCAGAAGGGCUAAUGUGUAUCGUCUUCAUCUUAAAGCCACCAACUGUAUUAGCUCCUAAAAAGAGAGUCAGCCUGUUCUUUGAAGCUUUGAAGCUAGGCAUUGACUUCUUCUCUCUAGCUACAAAAGUUCUAGAGGGCAUCUUCUUCCAAUAGAAGGCAUUUUGGUCUACAUUAGAAAUCUGUUGUUUAGUGUAGCCAUGUUCAUCAAUUAUCUUAGGCAGGAGAACUUCAGCUGGAGAACUUGCUGUAGCUUCUUGCACUUGCUUCACUUGCACUUUUAGGUUGGAGACGGUUUUAUAAAGAUAAUUUAUUUUCUUAAAUCCCAUGAAUCAACACCUACUAGCUUUAAACUUUUCUCUUCAGCUUCCUCACCACUCUCAGACUUCAUAGAAUUGAAGAGGUUAAGGCCUUGUUCUGGAUUAAGCUUUGGCUUAAGGAAAUGUUGUGGCUGAUUUGAUCAUUUUUAUUCAGACCACUCAAAAUUUCUCCAUUAAGCCAUAGGCUGUUUUGCUUUCUUAUAAUUUGUGUGUUCACUGGAGUCACACUUUUAUUUUUUAGAGACAAGUUCUUGCUCUAUUGCCCAGGCUGCAGUGCAGUGACACAAUCAUAGCUCACUGCAACCUUGAACUCCUGGGCUCAAGUGAUCCUCCUGCCUCAGCCUCCCAGGUAGCUGGGACUAUAGACAUGCACCACCAUACUUGGCUUAUUUUUUUUAAAUAAGUCUUCACUAUGUUGCCCAGGCUGGUCUUGAACUCCUGGUCUCAAGGAAUUUCCCCACCUUAGCCUCCCAAAACUCUAGGAUUACAGGCAUAAGCCACCACACCUGUCCUGGAGUAGCACUUUUAAUUUCCAUCAAGAACUUUUCCCUUGCAUCCACAACUUGGCUACUUGUUGCAAGAGGCCUAGCUUUCAGCCUAUCCUGACUUUCAACAUGCCUUCCUCACUAAGCUUAGUCAUUUCUAGCUUUUGAUUUAAAGUGAGAGCCAUGUGGCUCUUCCUUUCACUUGAACACUUCGAGUCCAUUGUAGAGCUAUUAAUUGCCCUAAUUUUUUUAUUGUUGUUUUAAUAUUUGCUACUACCACCAAGAUCUGCGCCUGCAGUGGCUCCACCCAGGCCCAUGUUCUAUUAAGGGACAUUGCAAUGGCCCUUCUACUCAUCUUGGCAUAGUGUCUUUAGGCUUGGGAGAUCUGAGCACUGCUCUGUCCUUCCUGCUCUAGUCCCUCUACUAGCAAUGGCUGCAUAUUGGCUCAACUCCUCAGCACCAUCCAUUUUCAGGGACAGUUGAGUAGUCAGUUGAGUUGUUAUACACUCCUUAGUGGAUUCUGACUUCCAUGGUCACUGUACUGUUGUAUAAUCAACUAUCCUAAUUUCAACAUUGUUGUGUCUCAGGGAAUAGGGAGGCCUGAAGUUAAGGAGAGACAUGGAGCAAUGAUCAAUCAGUUGAGCAAUCAAAACACACACAACAAUUAUCAAUGAAGUUUACUGUCUUAUAUGGGCAUGUUUUCUGGUGCCACAAAACAAUUACAAUAGUAACAUCAAAGGUCACUGAUCACAAAUCACCGUAACAGAUAUAAUAAUAGUGGAAGUUUGAAAUAUUGCAAGAAUUACCAAAAUGUGUCACAAAGACCUGAUGGACUUGCUAGAGGCAAGGCUGCCAAAAACUUUCAAUUUGUUAAAUAUGCAAAAUCUGCAUGGUAAAAUAAAGCAUAGCACAAUAAAAAGAAAUAUGCAUGUAUACACUAUUUAUAAUGUAUAUCCCUACAUAUAAUAUAUAUCAAUAUAUAAUAAAUGUACGUAUUGUUACAUAUUUGCAAAUAUAUAUGGUGAAAUAUAUCCAUGAGUUGCCAAAUCUGUUUUCACAACAUUAUGAACCUUCAAAAACAUGCCCAGCAAGGAGUCAUGAUGGCUGUGCAUACCCACGAACAGGGUUGAUUAGAAACAACUGUUUCAUUUACACAACACUGGGUCAUAUGACAAAUAAAUAACAGCAACCUGCCUAUUUUUAAAAUUUUGACAUCUUGCUUCUCAUGAAUUUUUUUAAUUUUUGAUUUUUUAAAUUCAUUGCCUUAACUAUUAUUUAGCCUGAUUACUGAGUUUUUGGCACCACUUUUAAAAAAAUAACUCAUUUAUUUUGAAAUGAUUUUCAUUGUAUAUAUUUAUGGGGUACAACAUGACUUUUUCAUAUAUGUAUACAUAAUGGAACAAUUAAUCAAAGUAAAUAACAUAUCUUCACCUCAUAAACAUCUUUUCUGUGGUUAGAACAUUUAAAAUCUACUUUCUUAGCACUUUUCAAGUAUGUAGCACAUUAUUAUUAACUAUAGUCACUCUGCUGUAUAACAAAAUAAAUGUCCAGAACUUAAUCAUCUUGUUUAACUGAAUCUUUCUAUAUUUUGACAAACAUCUGUCCUUGUUCCCAGCCUAUGAAAAGAAUACCCUACUCUUUUGAGUUCAACUUUUUCAGAUUCUACAUAAAAGUGAGAUCAUACAGUAUUUUUUUCUGUGCCUAGCUUAUUUUACUUAGCAUAAUAUCCUGCAGAUACAUCCAUAGUAUCUCAAAUAGCAAGAUACCCUUUUUUCUAAGGCUGAAUCUUAUUCCAUUGUGUGUAUCCGUCCCAUUUUCUUUAUCCAUUCAUCCAUCAAGAGAUAUUAUUUUAUUGUCAUAUCUUGGCUAUGAAUAAUAGUUCGCUAUUAAGAAUAAUGCUGCAAUGAACAUGAGGCUGUAGAUACCUCUGUGACAUAACUGAUUUCAUUUCCUUUGGAUAUACACACAGAAGUGGAAUUGCUGGAUUAUGUGGUAGUUUUAUUUUUAAUUUUUGAGAAACCUCCAUACUACUUUUCAUAAUGGCUAUACUAAUUUACAUUCCCACAAACAGUGUGCAAGGGUUCCCUUUUCUCUACAUAUUUGCCAAUAUUUGUCUUUUGUAUUUUAAUAAAUGCUAUUCUCACAGGUGUGAAGUGAUAGCUCAUUCACACCUGUGAAUUUGCAUUCCCCUGAUGAUUAGUGAUGUGAAAUAUUUUUUUUUUUGUAUACUUAUUGGCCUUUUGAUUCUCUUCUUUUGAAAAAUAUUUAUUAAAGUUCUGUGCCCAUUUUUUAAUCAGUUUGUUUGUUUUCUUGCAUAGAGUUGAGUUCCUUAUAUAUUUUUUAAAUUAACCCUUUAUCAAAUAUAUUGUUGGUAUAGUUUGAAUAUUUGUCCCCACCCAAAUUUCAUGUUGAAAUGUAAUCCCAGUGUUGGAGUUGGACCCUGGUAGCAGGUGUUUGGAUCAUUGGGGAGGAUCCCUCAUGAAUGGCUUGGGCCGUCUCUUUGGUGAUAAGUGAGUUCUGGCUCUGAGUUCACAUAAGAUCUGGUCAUUUACAACUGUACAACAGCUCCUGGCUACUCUUUCUCUCACUUGCCACUGCCGUAUGGUGUUCCUACUCCCCCUUUGCCUUCCACCAUGAUUGUAAGCUUCCUGAAGCCUCCCCAGAGGCUGAGCAGAUACCAGCACCAGGCUUCCUGUAAAGCCUGCAGAACUGUGAGCCAAUUAAAUCCUUUUUCUUUAUAAAUUACCCAGUCUCAGACAUUUCUUUAGAUCAAUGUGAGUGAGCUAAUACAAUGGUUUACAAAUACUUUCUCUUGUUAAACAGGUUGUCUCAUGAAUAGCUUGUUGAAUGUUUCCUUUGGUGUGCAGAAGCUCUUUAGUUUGAUGUAAUCCCAUUGCUUUAUUUUUCCUUUUGCUGUCUGUGCUUUUGUGAUAAUAUUCAAUAAAUCUUUGCUAAUACCAAUAUCAUGGAGCUUUUCCUCUAGUUUUUG
rnacentral:lncRNA from 10 species